ACUGUCCGUCUUAUAUGAAAUUUUUUUAUAAUUUGUAUUUUCAUUGUUGUUAGAUGAUAAAAUAUGAUUAACAUUUUAUGCGUGGCUUGUCUUCUUAAUUUUUUUUUAUAAUUUUUUCAAAUAAGACAGACGGU
rnacentral:pre_miRNA from 1 species